rnacentral:lncRNA from 1 species
GCAUACCUUGCUGCUUCCAUUACCUCAGGAAAACUCAGCUCAGAUUCUGUCUGUGGUUUUCAGCAAGAAUACUGCUUUUCCCUUCUUCCCGCACAAUUUUCCAGCCAGAUUGACUGAACUGCAGAAAGGUCAAAUGACUUACUUGGAGGAACCAGGAAAUUCAUACUGAAUCAUCUGACUGAAUUUGCUGUGCUGUGCCGAGAUGUUGUAGCUCAUGAAGCACACAAUAUAAACACUGGUCAGAGACACUACAGU